UACGUAGGGUGCAAGCGUUAAUCGGAAUUACUGGGCGUAAAGCGUGCGCAGGCGGUUGUGUAAGACAGAUGUGAAAUCCCCGGGCUCAACCUGGGAACUGCAUUUGUGACUGCACAGCUGGAGUGCGGCAGAGGGGGAUGGAAUUCCGCGUGUAGCAGUGAAAUGCGUAGAUAUGCGGAGGAACACCGAUGGCGAAGGCAAUCCCCUGGGCCUGCACUGACGCUCAUGCACGAAAGCGUGGGGAGCAACAGG
rnacentral:rRNA from 1 species